rnacentral:lncRNA from 1 species
GGAUUCUAUGGGACUGAGAAAGAAAGACAGAGGAAGAUGUCUUAUAUGAAAUAUUUCCUCUCUACUGCUCCCUACUGUCAGCACACCCUGACAGGAAUUCUGCUACAUUGUUCAUGAACCCAGUGAAAGAUGUUCACAGUGGUAAGUAACACUUUAUUCCAUGAAGAAGAAACACAGGGCAAGUUCCUUGGACUCCAAUUGCUACAAACCAACUGGGUCCCCAGUCACAGGUCACAAGCAAAUCAACAGACAGCAAAACGCAUGGAAACUCAGAUUCUUGUCCUAGGUUUGCAUGUUGUGAAGAGUCCACGUGUGGUAAAGAAAGGUCAUUUUAAAGGGCCAGUCUUCCUUGCUCACUAAACAAGGAUAACUGGAGAGCAGCCUAAGUCAUUCAAUCAGAAAACACUUAUGAACCCAAGCACUGAUCUAUGCACCUGAAACUUGAAAAAAAU